rnacentral:rRNA from 1 species
CAAUAGCGUAUAUUUAAGUUGCUGCAGUUAAAAAGCUCGUAGUUGGAUUUCGGGUGGGAAUGGCCGGUCCGCCGUUUCGGUGUGCACUUGCUACGCCCACCUUGCUGCCGGGGACGUGCUCUUGAGUUCACGCUCGGGACACGGAGUCGGCGAGGUUACUUUGAGUAAAUUAGAGUGUUCAAAGCAGGCCUACGCUCUGAAUACAUUAGCAUGGAAUAACACGAUAGGACUCUGGCCUAUCUUGUUGGUCUGUAGGACCGGAUUAAUGAUUAAGAGGGACAGUCGGGGGCAUUCGUAUUUCAUUGUCAGAGGUGAAAUUCUUGGAUUUAUGAAAGACGAACUACUGCGAAAGCAUUUGCCAAGGAUGUUUUCAUUAA